rnacentral:tRNA from 1 species
GAGGGUAUAGCUCAAGUGGUAGAGCACAUGCUCAGCAUAUACAAGGUCCUGGGUUCAAUCCCCAGUACCUCCU